rnacentral:tRNA from 1 species
GGAGGGGUUCCCGAGUGGCCAAAGGGACCAGACUGUAAAUCUGAUGUCGUCGACUUCGUAGGUUCGAAUCCUACCCCCUCCACCA